rnacentral:sRNA from 1 species
UAUAGAGAAUUUAUGGUAAAUACUUGAGGGCAGAAAGUUUUCGAAAGGCUCUCAUUUACCAGAAGAAAUACCUGCUGCUGUUACUGGGUGGGUUCCAGGAAUGUGAAGAUGCCACCUUGGCCCUGCUUGCCCGGAUGGGGGGGCAGCCAGCUUUCACGGAUCUAGAGGUGAUCACCAAUCGCCCAAAGGGCUUCACCAGGUUUCGGUCGGCCGUCAGAGUAUCCAUUGCAAUUUCCAGGUUCAACUACUCAAUUUCAUGCUGGCAUGAGAAGAUAAUCCUUUGAAACAUCAUUAAUUGAAGUGAUUUUAAAUAGAUUUCCUUUUGUAAAUCAAUGGUUCUUUUGUGUUUUUGUAUUGUGAAUAUUCAAUGGGACCAAUAUGAACACAGCUUAUGAUUGUAUACAAAUCCCUUGCCAGCACAUGAAAACAAACUGGAAUUUGUAUAUAUAAGCAUUGUGUAUGUAUUCAUGCACAAUAAUUAUUGAAUUACCUGUAUAUUUGUGGAAUGCUAAUUUAAAACAUUAAAUUAUAAACCUUGUGUAUUUAUCAAAUGGGUGAAAAGAUUAAACUUUUACGCAUUACAA